UUCAAUUUCUUCAUCCUUGCCACAUCAGUCUUGGCACUUUUUUUCUCUCUAUCUAUCUGAUACAACCUCUCACUUCGCAUGGAUCUCGGAUCUCUCGGGAUGAGAAUACAUGCAACUUCUUUAGAUGGAGGGUUCAUGAAGAUGUUGAUAUACGAUCCAAGUUCGUUAUUCUCAGAUUGGCGAACAAAAUUAGGGGGUUGAAAACUGAUGAUGAAAGUCAUAUUAAAAGAAGUAUCGAAUGGGGGAUGAAGGAGAAGAAGAAGACCAAAUGUUGUAGCAUGUGAAAACUAAUCUUUGUGUUAUUUCUCUUGUAUUAUUAAGCAUUACCAAGAAGAAUACUAUAGAGGAUAGACAAUUCUUAUAUAGUUGUGUACAACCAUUAAAAUCAUCUAAAAAUAAUUCAUUAUUCCACUCUACAUCAAAAAUUUAGGUAGCAACUUGAAGACCGAUUGUAUGUAUGUCAAAAAUUUGGUAUGUUCCAUACCCUUCAGCAGACAUUUAUAAGCAUUCAUGUGACCAUCGUGCAAAAUUAUC
rnacentral:lncRNA from 1 species